GAAGACUAAUCAGGAGUUGAUCCAAUGUAAUCACACCAGAAUCUUUAUUCUAGCUUGUUCAAGCUUACCUCACCUCCACCCUGCAGGACAGUUCUGGUAGAGGAAAAAAUACCUGAACAUUCAUUGAAGACAAGAUAUUAUAGAAAGCAUCAAGCGAAGGAUACAUAGAAAAUUCAAACUGAGGACCUAAUGAUGAAAGGAAUCUUGGCAACUUGGGCAGAAAAGCCCCAAACUCUUCUCCACUCAACAGGUCUUAAGAGUUUCAGAAGUGCAGAAGCAUUUAGUUUUGAUGUUGACAACGUUGAUUUGAUCUCACUUUCAAAGAUGCUACGUAUGUUCAUGGCUCUAUCCCAAUUAACUGUGAGUGCAAAAAAGUAAUAAAUGUGAAAUAUUUUUAUAACCUAAA